rnacentral:rRNA from 1 species
UACGAAGGGGGCUAGCGUUGUUCGGAAUCACUGGGCGUAAAGCGCGCGUAGGCGGAUUGUUAAGUCGGGGGUGAAAUCCCGAGGCUCAACCUCGGAACUGCCUUCGAUACUGGCGAUCUUGAGUCCGGGAGAGGUGAGUGGAACUCCUAGUGUAGAGGUGAAAUUCGUAGAUAUUAGGAAGAACACCAGUGGCGAAGGCGGCUCACUGGCCCGGUACUGACGCUGAGGUGCGAAAGCGUGGGGAGCAAACAGG